AAGAGUUAAGUUGUUGCAACUGGUAAAUACUUGAAACAAGAGAAUUUGACAGAACUGGAGAACACCACCGAAGGUCUAACACAUUGAACUUGCAAUUUUACAAGUCUCUGCUCAUCGUUUGUUGAUCAUUUAAAUGCCGAAAAGCUGAAAUCUGCCGCAACCCGUCCUUGGAUCAGUUACACCAAGAACCAGCCAUGGACAAAGGACUCUGUGUGUGAAGUUCAAUAAUACUACAGGUGUAUAACAAGCCACUUACGUCUCUCAGGCAUGGAUCGGAUCCAGUUUCCGUGUAGUCUUAACUCCUUUCUGUCUGGUGGGAGAGCAACUUCUAAAUGUAGCCUCAAUGUUCUGUAAAUGAAAGCUGUGAGUUGACAGUGAUGAGGCAUACAAGCUUUCGAGUAUUGUACAAAAUUGUAAACCGGUGUUACCAAGCCAGAGAGCGGAAGUUUGACAAGUUUUAACGUCCAACCCCACACCAGUGGCUGAUGCCGUAAUGUCGGUGG